rnacentral:lncRNA from 1 species
GCCCUGUUGGGCGGCGACGCGGCAGGCGGCGCGCUUGAGCGUGCAUCUAUUCUCAUAGAGAUAACGCAGGCAGUCCAGGUGCCCGUUCUUGGCGGCCAUGUAGGCGGCCUCGUGCGUCCACGGACAUCCAUUGUCGUGCAGGUAGCGCAGGCAGGCAAGGUGACCGCCGGCUGCCGCGUCCAGACACGCCAGCGGACCCCAUCUCUGCCCACACUGGUGGGCAUAGACGAGGAUAUCGAGAUGGCCACGUGCAGCGGCCUGGCGGCAUGCGUCGCGUGCCCACGGACAGCCAUUCUCGACAAGAUACCUGACGCACGCCAGGCUGCCGCUGCGGAUGGCUGCGACCGACGUCGAUCUCCCCCACGGGAAAACAGGUUCAUUGGCAAAGCGCCACAGGCGCGCGUCUUUGGCCCUGGCCGCCGCAGCCUUGCUGCCAUGGCGCCUUGGGCGCUCAAUGCUCCUUGCAUAGGCAAGGCAAUCAAGAUGACCGGCGGCGGCAGUCUGCGUGCACAGCGUCGUCGCCGUCGUCGAUGACGACGCGAUGCUGCCUAUGCACAGCACGCGCCCCAUGGCCGUGGUGUCAUUGCAGAUCAGCCUCCACAGGCGACAGACGCGCGUGGCGAUGCGCAGAGCCUCUAGGCACGACAAGCGACUCAGGAUGCUCGCCACCAACUCGUUGGGCAGGUCGUCAAAGGUGGCCAUUGACCCUAAAGUGUGUCCUUGGGUUACUGUUUUGCUGCCUUCUUUUUUUAUAAAUAUUAAAAGAAAGAGCCUGCCUUGGCGCCCUUUGUGUGCGCCCUGUGGCCCGACAGCGACG